CAAAAUAUAGCUUAACCAAAGCAUCUCGCUUACACCGAAAAAAUAUCUGUGAAACUCAGAUUAUUUUGA
rnacentral:tRNA from 2 species